rnacentral:rRNA from 1 species
GACGAACGCUGGCGGCGUGCCUAACACAUGCAAGUCGUACGGGCUUGAGGGGCAACUCUCAAGUCAGUGGCGGACGGGUGCGUAACACGUGAGCAACCUGUCUUUUGGUGGGGGAUAGCCGGCCCAACGGCCGGGUAAUACCGCAUGAUCCGCCGGGGUGGCAUCACCCUGGUGUGAAAGCGGCCGCAAGGUCGCGCCAAAAGAGGGACUCGCGGCGUAUCAGCUAGUUGGCGGGGUAACGGCCCACCAAGGCUACGACGCGUAGCUGGU